UGACAUGGGUUCACUGCCGAAGCAAAAGUGAUAAGUACCCCGCCUGGGGAGUAUGGUCGCAAGGCUGAAACUCAAAGGAAUUGACGGGGGCUCACACAAGCGGUGGAGCAUGUGGCUUAAUUCGAGGUUACGCGAAGAACCUUAUCCUGGACUUGACAUGUGCGAAAGCGGUAGGAAGUAGCGUGCGGAAACGUUACGCGAACGGUAUCCAGUCCGGAACCUACUACAGGUGCUGCAUGGCUGUCGUCAG
rnacentral:rRNA from 1 species